rnacentral:rRNA from 1 species
UACGAAGGGAGCUAGCGUUGUUCGGAAUCACUGGGCGUAAAGCGCACGUAGGCGGAUGUGUCAGUCAGGGGUGAAAUCCCGGAGCUCAACUUCGGAACUGCCUUUGAUACAGCACGUCUUGAGUCCGAUAGAGGUGGGUGGAAUUCCUAGUGUAGAGGUGGAAUUCGUAGAUAUUAGGAAGAACACCGGUGGCGAAGGCGGCCCACUGGGAUCGGUACUGACGCUGAGGUGCGAAAGCCAGGGGAGCGAACGGG